rnacentral:rRNA from 1 species
UGGGGAAUUUUGCGCAAUGGGGGAAACCCUGACGCAGCAACGCCGCGUGAGUGAUGAAGGCCUUCGGGUCGUAAAGCUCUGUCAGAGGGGAAGAAGUGUGAGGUGGCUAAUAUCCAUUUCACUUGACGGUACCUUCAAAGGAAGCACCGGCUAACUCCGUGCCAGCAGCCGCGGUAAUACGGAGGGUGCGAGCGUUGUUCGGAAUUAUUGGGCGUAAAGCGCGUGUAGGCGGUUUUUUAAGCUGAUGUGAAAGCCCUGGGCUCAACCCGGGAAGUGCAUUGGAAACUGGGAGACUUGAAUACGGGAGAGGGCAGUGGAAUUCCUGGUGUAGGAGUGAAAUCCGUAGAUAUCAGGAGGUACACCGGUGGCGAAGGCGGCUGCCUGGACCGAUAUUGACGCUGA